rnacentral:rRNA from 1 species
GACGAGCGCUGGCGGCGUGCUUAACACAUGCAAGUCGAACGGAAAGGCCCUGCUUUUGUGGGGUGCUCGAGUGGCGAACGGGUGAGUAACACGUGAGUAACCUGCCCUUGACUUUGGGAUAACUUCAGGAAACUGGGGCUAAUACCGGAUAGGAGCUCCUGCUGCAUGGUGGGGGUUGGAAAGUUUCGGCGGUUGGGGAUGGACUCGCGGCUUAUCAGCUUGUUGGUGGGGUAGUGGCUUACCAAGGCUUUGACGGGUAGCCGGCCUGAGAGGGUGACCGACCACAUUGGGACUGAGAUACGGCCCAGACUCCUACGGGAGGCAGCAGUGGGGAAUAUUGCACAAUGGGCGGAAGCCUGAUGCAGCAACGCCGCGUGCGGGAUGACGGCCUUCGGGUUGUAAACCGCUUUCGCCUGUGACGAAGCGUGAGUGACGGUAAUGGGUAAAGAAGCACCGGCUAACUACGUG